CAAUAAGCGGAGGAAAAGAAACCAACAGGGAUUGCCCCAGUAACGGCGAGUGAAGCGGCAAUAGCUCGAAUUUGAAAUCUGGCCUAGGCCCGAGUUGUAAUCUGUAGAGGAUGCUUUUGGCGCGGUGCCUUCCGAGUUCCCUGGAACGGGACGCCACAGAGGGUGAGAGCCCCGUAUGGUCGGACACCAAGCCUCUGUAAAGCUCCUUCGACGAGUCGAGUAGCUUGGGAAUGCUGCUCUAAAUGGGAGGUAAACUUCUUCUAAAGCUAAAUACCGGCUAGAGACCGAUAGCGCACAAGUAGAGUGAUCGAAAGAUGAAAAGCACUUUGAAAAGAGGGUUAAACAGUACGUGAAAUUGUUGAAAGGGAAGCGCUUGUGACCAGACUUGCGCCGGGCUGAUCAUCCAGCGGUCUCCGCUGGUGCACUCGGUCCGGCUCAGGCCAGCGUCGGUUGUCGCGGGGGGAUAAAAGCCUAGGGAAUGUAGCUCCUUCCGGGGAGUGUUAUAGCCCUCCGCAGAAUAUCCCCGCGGCGACCGAGGUCCGCGCCCUGCAAGGACGCUGGCGUAAUGGUCAUCAGCGACCCGUCUUGAAACACGGACCAAGGAGUCGAGGUUUU
rnacentral:rRNA from 1 species